GAUAUAGAGUCGGUUUUCUCCUUUAAGCGUUCACAAAGGGCUUCAAACAUGGGUUGGGUGAUACUUCGCGGGCGUCUGACACCAUUGCGAGGUGCACUAACAUCUCCGAAUGCCUCCAGGUUGCGACGGAUGCGAGUUAUGGUUCGUUUGCUGCAGUUAGCGACAAAAGGCGAUAUCAAAUCUAUUGAGUGAUUUGCUCUGAAUCGUAUGAUGAAUCAGUUCGAGUUGUGGGACUUUCAAGUUCGCAGGCAUCCUUCCUCGAUGUGGGCGGUAGUUCUUUGGGAAGCAAUGUUGCGGUGAUACCGUGCACGGCCCGAUAAUUACUCCGGC
rnacentral:sRNA from 2 species